AGCCCUUUAGCUCAGUGGUGAGAGCGAGCGACUCAUAAUCGCCAGGUCGCUGGUUCAAAUCCAGCAA
rnacentral:tRNA from 1 species